rnacentral:rRNA from 1 species
CCUACGGGAGGCAGCAGUGGGGAAUUUUGGACAAUGGGGGAAACCCUGAUCCAGCCAUCCCGCGUGUGCGAUGAAGGCCUUCGGGUUGUAAAGCACUUUUGGCAGGAAAGAAACGUCAUGGGUUAAUACCCCGUGAAACUGACGGUACCUGCAGAAUAAGCACCGGCUAACUACGUGCCAGCAGCCGCGGUAAUACGUAGGGUGCAAGCGUUAAUCGGAAUUACUGGGCGUAAAGCGUGCGCAGGCGGUUCGGAAAGAAAGAUGUGAAAUCCCAGAGCUUAACUUUGGAACUGCAUUUUUAACUACCGGGCUAGAGUGUGUCAGAGGGAGGUGGAAUUCCGCGUGUAGCAGUGAAAUGCGUAGAUAUGCGGAGGAACACCGAUGGCGAAGGCAGCCUCCUGGGAUAACACUGACGCUCAUGCACGAAAGCGUGGGGAGCAAACAGGAUUAGAUACCCUGGUAGUCCACGCCCUAAACGAUGUCAACUAGCUGUUGGGGCCUUCGGGCCUUGGUAGCGCAGCUAACGCGUGAAGUUGACCGUCUGGGGAGUACGGUCGCAAGAUUAAAACUCAAAGGAAU